AGAUUGAACGCUGGCGGCAGGCCUAACACAUGCAAGUCGAGCGGUAGAGAGGUGCUUGCAUCUCUUGAGAGCGGCGGACGGGUGAGUAAUGCCUAGGAAUCUGCCUAGUGGGUGGGGGAUAACGGUUCGGAAACGGACGCUAAUACCGCAUACGUCCUACGGGAGAAGGCGGGGACCUUCGGGCCUCGCGCCAUUAGAUGAGCCUAGGUCGGAUUAGCUAGUUGGUGAGGUAAUGGCUCACCAAGGCGACGAUCCGUAACUGGUCUGAGAGGAUGAUCAGUCACACUGGAACUGAGACACGGUCCAGACUCCGUACGGGAGGCAGGCAGGUCGGGUAAUAGUUGGACAAGUGGGGACGAAAGUCCGUUAUACCCGAGACC
rnacentral:rRNA from 1 species